rnacentral:rRNA from 1 species
GACGAACGCUGGCGGCGCGCUUAACACAUGCAAGUCGAACGGAAAGGCCCUGCUUUUGUGGGGUGCUCGAGUGGCGAACGGGUGAGUAACACGUGAGUAACCUGCCCUUGACUUUGGGAUAACUUCAGGAAACUGGGGCUAAUACCGGAUAGGAGCUCCUGCUGCAUGGUGGGGGUUGGAAAGUUUCGGCGGUCGGGGAUGGACUCGCGGCUUAUCAGCUUGUUGGUGGGGUAGUGGCUUACCAAGGCUUUGACGGGUAGCCGGCCUGAGAGGGUGACCGGCCACAUUGGGACUGAGAUACGGCCCAGACUCCUACGGGAGGCAGCAGUGGGGAAUAUUGCACAAUGGGCGGAAGCCUGAUGCAGCAACGCCGCGUGCGGGAUGACGGCCUUCGGGUUGUAAACCGCUUUCGCCUGUGACGAAGCGUGAGUGACGGUAAUGGGUAAAGAAGCACCGGCUAACUACGUG